UACGGAGGGUGCAAGCGUUAUCCGGAUUUACUGGGUUUAAAGGGUGCGUAGGUGGGCAGGAAAGUCAGUGGUGAAAUCUCCGGGCUUAACCCGGAAACUGCCAUUGAUACUAUUUGUCUUGAAUACUUUGGAGGUAAGCGGAAUAUGUCAUGUAGCGGUGAAAUGCUUAGAUAUGACAUAGAACACCAGUUGCGCAGGCAGCUUACUACACAGUAAUUGACACUGAGGCACGAAAGCGUGGGGAGCGAACAGG
rnacentral:rRNA from 1 species